rnacentral:rRNA from 1 species
GUCUAUGGCCAUGCUACCCUGAACGUGCUCGUUCUUGUCUGAUCUUGGAAGCUAAGCAGGGUCGGGCCUGGUUAGUACUUGGAUGGGAGACCACCUAGGAAGACCAGGUGCUGUAGGGU